rnacentral:rRNA from 1 species
UACAGAGGUCCCAAGCGUUGUUCGGAUUCACUGGGCGUAAAGGGUGCGUAGGCGGUCGGGUAAGUCUGAUGUGAAACCUCACAGCUUAACUGUGAAACUGCAUUGGAUACUAUUCGGCUUGAGAGUUGGAGGGGGGACUGGAAUUCUUGGUGUAGCAGUGAAAUGCGUAGAUAUCGGGAGGAACACCAGUGGCGAAGGCGAUCAUCUGGGGUUGUUCUGACACUGAGGAGCGAAAGCUAGGGGAGCAAAUGGG